CCAGGAUGUUGGCUUAGAAGCAGCCAUCAUUUAAAGAAAGCGUAAUAGCUCACUGGUCGAGUCGGCCUGCGCGGAAGAUGUAACGGGGCUAAACCAUGCACCGAAGCUGCGGCAGCGAACGUAUCACUUAAAGCGAUUCAGCGGGUUACGAUUGACGGAGCGAAGCGACGUCAAAGCGUAUACAAAGUCGAGUCGGUUUAAGGAUACGUUCGUUGGGUAGGGGAGCGUUCUGUAAGCCUGUGAAGGUGGCCUGUGAGGGUUGCUGGAGGUAUCAGAAGUGCGAAUGCUGACAUAAGUAACGAUAAAGCGGGUGAAAAGCCCGCUCGCCGGAAGACCAAGGGUUCCUGUCCAACGUUAAUCGGGGCAGG
rnacentral:rRNA from 3 species